GUCCAGACUCCUACGGGAGGCAGCAGUGGGGAAUAUUGCACAAUGGGGGAAACCCUGAUGCAGCGACGCCGCGUGAGCGAUGAAGUAUUUCGGUAUGUAAAGCUCUAUCAGCAGGGAAGAAAAUGACGGUACCUGACUAAGAAGCCCCGGCUAACUACGUGCCAGUAGCCGCGGUAAUACGUAGGGGGCAAGCGUUAUCCGGAUUUACUGGGUGUAAAGGGAGCGUAGACGGCUGUGCAAGCCAGAUGUGAAAGCCCGGGGCUCAACCCCGGGACUGCAUUUGGAACUGUGUGGCUGGAGUGUCGGAGAGGCAGGCGGAAUUCCUAGUGUAGCGGUGAAAUGCGUAGAUAUUAGGAGGAACACCAGUGGCGAAGGCGGCCUGCUGGACGAUGACUGACGUUGAGGCUCGAAAGCGUGGGGAGCAAACAGGAUUAGAUACCCCAGUAA
rnacentral:rRNA from 1 species